rnacentral:misc_RNA from 1 species
AGCAGCCGCGGUAAUUCCAGCUCCAAUAGCGUAUAUUAAAGUUGUUGUGGUUAAAAGCUCGUAGUUGAACCUUGGGCCUGGCUGGCCGGUCCGCCUCACCGCGUGUACUGGUCCGGCCGGGCCUUUCCCUCUGUGGAACCCCAUGCCCUUCACUGGGUGUGGCGGGGAAACAGGACUUUUACUUUGAAAAAUUAGAGUGCUCCAGGCAGGCCUAUGCUCGAAUACAUUAGCAUGGAAUAAUAGAAUAGGACGUGCGGUUCUAUUUUGUUGGUUUCUAGGACCGCCGUAAUGAUUAAUAGGGACAGUCGGGGGCAUCAGUAUUCAAUUGUCAGAGGUGAAAUUCUUGGAUUUAUUGAAGACUAACUACUGCGAAAGCAUUUGCCAAGGAUGUUUUCAUUAAUCAGGAACGAAAGUUAGGGAUCGAAGACGAUCAGAUACGUCGUAGUCUUAACCAUAAACUAUGCCGACUAGGGAUCGGACGAUUGUUAUUUUUGACUUCGUUCGGCUACCUUACGGGAAC